rnacentral:lncRNA from 1 species
AGGUCCAAUGGCACCGGCACAAUGUUGAAGAAUGCACUUGGGAGUCGGAGCAAAGUAUGAAGAGCAAAUACCCUCACCUCUUUGAGUAUUCAGGUAAUUUACUCUUUUAAAUUCGAGGAUGAAUUUUAUAUAAGGGUGGGAGGAUGUAAUAACCCUAAAUUUUUUUUUAUAUAAAAAAGGGAUAGAAUAGUCCUUUAAAAUUGAUAUAAGGGGUAAAAUUGGAAGGAAUCAAAAGUUAAUGGCAUAACAAUAGAUGCGUUGAAGUGUUAGGGGCAAAAUGGGAAGGAAUUAAAAGUUAAUGGCAUAACAGUAGAUAUGUUGAAGUGUUAGGGGCAAAAUGGGAAAUUUAGCAUUUUGAUGCGACUUAAUUGGUGGGUUGGCUGUGUCGGUGGAGUGAAACAGAGAAGAAAAGGGGGGGAGUCUCAAGCGGUGACAGAGAGAAGGAGGAGAAGAAGAAGAAGAAGAAGAAGGAAAAAGAGAGAAGAAGAGAAGGAAAAAGAGAGAAGAAAAGAGAGAAGAAAAGGAGAGGAAAAGUCCGAAAAAAAAGAAGAGAAGGGAAGGGGGGGAUUCCGGUUGUGUGCCGGCUGAAAUAAAAAAAGAAGUAUCGGUCUUCUUUCCCUCGGUGCAAGGACCCAAUCCUCCGAAGAGAAAGAGGUAAACACCCGUCCCUACCUAGUUUUUUUUUAUAAUAAAAUUAGGCUAUACAAAAGGUGGAUGUAGUCUAGAGGGGUCGGAUAAGAGUUGUAGAGGUGGUUAAAAGAGGAAGAAUCGGAUUUCGACAAGUUUUUUUGGGCAUUGCGGAAAAACUAUGUCGAAGUCCCAACUUCGGUGAAUUAUUUCGGGGGUCAAUCGGCCUCCGAUGGUGAUGCAUG